rnacentral:piRNA from 1 species
UCAUUUGGGUGAAGAAAUCAA